GAUGAAGAACGUAGCGAAAUGCGAUAAGUAAUGCGAAUUGCAGAAUUCAGUGAAUCAUCGAAUCUUUGAACGCACCUUGCGCCCUUUGGCUAUUCCGAAGGGCAUGCCUGUUUGAGUAUCAUGAACACCUCAACUCUCAUGGCUUGCUGUGAUGAGCUUGGAAUUUGGGGGUCUUGUUGGCUUGUGAGCCAGCUCCUCCUAAAUGAAUUAGCUUGCCGGUGUUUGGUGGCAUCACAGGUGUGAUAACUAUCUACUCUUGUGGUUUCCCAUCAGGUAACCUCCAGUGAUGGAGGUUCGCUGGGGCUCAUAAAUGUCUCUCCUCAGUGAGGACAGAUUUUGACUGUUUGAUCUCAAAUCAGGUAGGACUACCCGCUGAACUUAAGCAUAUCAAUAAGCGGAGGA
rnacentral:misc_RNA from 1 species